UACAGAGGUCCCAAGCGUUGUUCGGAUUCACUGGGCGUAAAGGGUGCGUAGGUGGUCGGGUAAGUCUGAUGUGAAUUCUCCGAGCUUAACUCGUAAACUGCAUCGGAUACUAUUCGGCUGGAGGGUUGGAGGGGGGACUGGAAUACUUGGUGUAGCAGUGAAAUGCGUAGAUAGCAAGUGGAACACCAGUGGCGAAGGCGAGUCCCUGGACAACUCCUGACACUGAGGCACGAAAGCUAGGGGAGCAAACAGG
rnacentral:rRNA from 1 species